UACGUAGGGGGCAAGCGUUGUCCGGAUUUAUUGGGCGUAAAGAGCGUGUAGGCGGCCAGGUAGGUCUGCUGUGAAAACUCGAGGCUCAACCUCGAGAUGUCGGCGGAAACCAUCUGGCUAGAGUCCGGAAGAGGAGAAUGGAAUUCCCGGUGUAGCGGUGAAAUGCGUAGAUAUCGGAAGGAACACCGGUGGCGAAAGCGGCGCGCUGGAUCCCUACUGACGCUGAGGCACGAAAGCCAGGGGAGCAAACGGG
rnacentral:rRNA from 1 species